GGAGCCUGUCAAGAUCACAAGUGCAAAUGGAAGGAACUGUGUGUGGCCAAGCCAAAAGGUGGAUAUAAGUGCAUCAGAGGUAGAGGUUAGUGCGAACCAGGGAGACGGUGGAAGAGGGGUUUCGACCCUCCCAAGUCGCCAGAUGUACUAAACCGAAAUGAAACGGAUAUGCUGUCAGCUGAGAAGUAUUUGGGUUCUGUACUGUGACAUCAAUUUGUACAUGAAGCAAAAAUAAAUGUCUCGAUCCU